CCUACGGGGAGCUGCAGUGGGGGAUAUUGCACAAUGGGGGGAACCCUGAUGCAGCGACGCCGCGUGGGUGAAGGAGUGCUUCGGCAUGUAACGCCCUAUCGGCAGGGCAGAAGCAAGACGGUACCUGACUAAGAAGCCCCGGCUAACUACGUGCCAGCAGCCGCGGUAAUACGUAGGGGGCGAGCGUUAUCCGGAUUCACUGGGUGUAAAGGGAGCGUAGACGGCCAUGCAAGCCAGGGGUGAAAGCCCGGGGCCCAACCCCGGGACUGCCCGUGGAACUGGGCGGCUAGAGUGCGGGAGGGGCAGGCGGAAUUCCUGGUGUAGCGGGGAAAUGCGUAGAUAUCAGGAGGAACACCGGCGGCGAAGGCGGCCUGCUGGACCGCGACUGACGUUGAGGCUCGAAAGCGUGGGGAGCGAACAGGAUUAGAUACCCGAGUAGUC
rnacentral:rRNA from 1 species